CUAGAGGUGUCUGGGUGAAUAAUCGUCGGUAGUUCAGGAGGCAUGUCUGGAGCAUUUUCUAGCUGGCAUCUUUUAAAGCCAAUCAUAAAUUGGCUAAUGUUACUCAUUUUGCUAACAGUCAGUUUUGCAUCUACAGAUCCAGAUGUUGAAGGGACUUCCAGGAUAAUAGUCUAACAGGCCUGUUACCCAUUUAUCUUGCCAACAUGACACAUCUACAGAAUCUAAAUCUUGCAAACAAUAAUUUCAGAGGUCCUAUACCCAAUACCUGGGGUCAACUGUCCAAUUUAAAGCAUUUGGUAUUGAGGGGUAGCCACAUAUCUGGACAUAUUCCGGAUACAAUUUCAAAUAUUAGCGGGUUGACUGAACUGUAAG